UGACCUACGGGACGCAGCAGUGGGGAAUAUUGCACAAUGGGGGAAACCCUGAUGCAGCGACGCCGCGUGAGUGAAGAAGUAUUUCGGUAUGUAAAGCUCUAUCAGCAGGGAAGAAGAAGGACGGUACCUGAGUAAGAAGCCCCGGCUAACUACGUGACAGAAGCCGCGGUAAUACGUAGGGGGCAAGCGUUAUCCGGAUUUACUGGGUGUAAAGGGAGCGUAGACGGCGAAGAAAGUCUGAAGUGAAAGCACGCGGCU
rnacentral:rRNA from 1 species